AGUGAACGCUGACAGCGUGCUUAACACAUGCAAGUCGAACGAGAACGGAUUAUAGCUUGCUAUAAUUGUCAGCUAAGUGGCGCACGGGUGAGUAAUGUAUAGAUAACCUGCCCUCUAGAAAGGAAUAACAGAUGGAAACGUCUGCUAAUGCCCUAUAUGCCUUUAAUACAUAAGUAUGCAAGGGAAACGCUUUAGUGUUAGAGGAUGGGUCUGUAUGGUAUCAGUUUGUUGGUGAGGUAAUGGCUCACCAAGACUAUGACGCCUAACUGGUUUGAGAGGAUGAUCAGUCACACUGGAACUGAGACACCGUCCAGACUCCUACGGGAGGCAGCAGUGGGGAAUAUUGCACAAUGGACGAAAGUCUGAUGCAGCAACGCCGCGUGGAGGAUGACACAUUUCGGUGCGUAAACUCCUUUUAUAUAGGAAGAUAAUGACGGUACUAUAUGAAUAAGCACCGGCUAACUCCGUGCCAGCCGCCGCAGUAA
rnacentral:rRNA from 1 species